GUCUCUGCAGCGCAAUGGAUAGCGCGUUGAACUUCUUAUCCAAAAAUCGUGGGUACGAAUUCCACCUGAGAUC